rnacentral:tRNA from 1 species
GAGGGUUUAGCUCAGAGGUAGAGUGCUUGGCUAGCAAGCGUGAAAACCUGGGUUCAAUCCCCAGCACCAUGA